UACGUAGGGUGCGAGCGUUAAUCGGAAUUACUGGGCGUAAAGCGUGCGCAGGCGGUUUUGUAAGCCAGAUGUGAAAUCCCCCGGGCUCAACCUGGGAAUGGCAUUUGGGACUGCAAGGCUGGAGUGCGGCAGAGGAGACUGGAAUUCCUGGUGUAGCAGUGAAAUGCGUAGAUAUCAGGAGGAAUACCGAUGGCGAAGGCAGGUCUCUGGGCCGACACUGACGCUCAUGCACGAAAGCGUGGGGAGCAAACAGG
rnacentral:rRNA from 1 species